CAUGAACGCUAGCGGCAGGCCUAAUACAUGCAAGUCGAACGAUAUUAAGGGGCUUGCUCCUUAAGAAAGUGGCGCACGGGUGCGUAACGCGUAUGCAACCUACCUUAAUCAGGGGGAUAGCCCGAAGAAAUUCGGAUUAACACCGCAUAAAAACACAGGAUAGCAUUAUCCAAUGUUCAAAUAUUUAUAGGAUUAAGAUGGGCAUGCGUGUCAUUAGCUAGUUGGCGGGGUAACGGCCCACCAAGGCGACGAUGACUAGGGGAUCUGAGAGGAUAACCCCCCACACGGGUACUCGGCCACGGACCAGACGCCUACGGGAGGCAGCAGUAAGGAAUAUUGGUCAAUGGAGGCAACUCUGAACCAGCCAUGCCGCGUGCAGGAAGACGGCCCUAUGGGUUGUAAACUGCUUUUAUCCGGGAAUAAACCUUUCUACGUGUAGGAAGCUGAAUGUACCGGAAGAAUAAGGAUCGGCUAACUCCGUGCCAGCAGCCGCCGUAACAC
rnacentral:rRNA from 1 species